CCUUAAACCCCGUGACGACACCGCGGCCGUUCCGUGCUCCCAAAACCAAACCAAAAAUGGCGACCACCCGGCCGGCCGCCGCUACCUUCCUCCACCACCAGCUUCCCCUUCCCAGCCUCCGCCCCAAGACCCUGCUCAGAACCCGCCUCCGCCGCCUCUCCGCGUCCAUCAACCCCUCGCCUCCUGAUGAGACCCCCGCCGCCGACCCGCCGGUCAUCCCCUCGAUCAGCAUUGAAAACACCGAGCCCGAAGAGGUUGCCCGCCGCCGCAGCUGGGUUGAGCACGGCUGGGCGCCCUGGGAGGAGGUCAUGACCCCGGAGGUCGCCUUCGCGCGCCACAGCCUCAACGAGGGCGAGGAGGUGCCCCUCCAGUCGCCGGAGUCCCUCGAGGCCUUCCGCAUGCUCACGCCGGCCUACCGGAAGAAGGUGGAGGCCGAGCCGGGGUACAUGGAGCGCCUCCUCGCGACGCGCGACACUCCCGAGCCCCUUGAGACCACGUGGGCCGGCAGGCUCCCGCUGCGGCUCGUGCCGCCGCGGGACUGGCCGCCGCCCGGCUGGGAGGUGGACCCGGACGAGCUGGAGUUUAUAAGGGAGGCGCACAGGGAGGCGUCGGAGAGGCUGGACAUGGAGGCGGCGGCCGCGGCCGGGGUGACGAACGUGGAGAAGCUGGAGGACGCGCCGAAGGAUCUGGCGCUAGAUAGAUACAAAAUGUUCCUGAAGCAGUAUAAGGAAUGGGUGGAGGCAAACCGGGAUAGGUUGGAGCAGGAAUCCUACCAGUACGACCAGGAUUACUACCCUGGAAGAAGAAAACGAGGUAAGGACUACAGAGAAGAUAUGCAUGAACUUCCAUUCUACUAUCCUGGACAGAUUUGUUAUGGGCAAGUGACGACCGUUCACCUCCAUCAGGGAGCCUUUGUUGACAUCGGCUGUGUCCAUGAUGGAUGGGUGCCGAUAAAAGGAAAUGACUGGUAUUGGAUCCGACAUCACAUCAAGCCUGGCAUGAAAGUAUAUGUGGAGAUUCUGGCCAAACGAGAUCCCUACCGUUUCCGCUUUCCGCUUGAAAUGCGAUUUGUAUAUCCCAACAUUGAUCACCUAAUAUUCAAUAGAUUUGACUUUCCACCAAUAUUUCACCGUAAGGAGGAUACUAACCCAGAGCAGUUGUGGCGUGAAGGUGGACGUCCACCCAUUCCUAGGAAAAAACCUUUAAAGGAUAUGGAAAAGGAACCUUUGGUAUCAGAUCAUCCUUUUGUUGAUACGCUUUGGGAAUGGCAUAAUGCAGAGCAGAUGAUUUUAGACUACGAGGAGCAAAAUCCAGAUAAAUUCAAGGAUACGACAUAUGAGUCCACAGUUGAUGCAUCCUCAUUCGAUGAAGAAAACAGAGUUGAAUACACUGAAGGAUAUUUUAAAGAAACACGGCUAAAAAAGAAAGUUGUGAAUGUAAACAUCAAAGAACUUGAUCUUGAUGCUGCUCGUGCUGAACGCCAGCUGAUAAAAAAACUGAAAAAGGAAGCAGAGGAAAGAGGAGAGCAGUACAAAGUUGGGAAGCUGCGACGUAACAGAGAAAUGGAUGAGUAUGAUCUGAUGCAAUGGCUGCGUUCAUUUGAAGAAAGGGAAGCCCUUAUCAGAGAUAUUUGCUGUCGGAAAGCUCUUGGUCUUCCUAUUGAGGAACCUGGGCGAUACGACGUAGACGAGACAGAGGUCUAUGGGAAGGAUUACUAUGACCCAGAGAAGCCAAUGUACCGCUAUGACUACUGGGGAGAGCCCAAGAACACCGAGAAAACUAGGCUGGAGCGGGAUGUGGAGCGUCACAACCAACAGAUUGUUGGAGACGCAAAGAAAUGGUGCGAGAUGUCGUAUGAUGACUACAUCCGCAAGAAGCUGAGGUUGGAAGCAGCUGAAGCGAGGGAAAGGCAGAGAAAGGCAUCAGAGCCGCAAGAGGAGGAGGAGUAUGACGACGGGAUGGACCUGGACUUGAAGAACAUGACCGAUCCUCGCGCCCCGCAUAACCGGUUUUACAUCACGAAAUGAAAGGUACAAGGAGAACAGAUGGGAUCCUAAGCAGCUUAUUGGCUCCGGCGGUAUGCCAUCAUCACAUUCUGCCACGGUUACAGCACUAGCAGUAGCGAUUGGAUUCCAAGAUGGUUUUAGUUGCUCCCUCUUUGCAACAGCAGCUAUAUUUGCAAGUGUGGUGAUGUACGAUGCUUCUGGUAUCAGAUUGCAUGCUGGAAAGCAAGCAGAGGUAUUGAAUCAAAUAGUUUGUGAACUUCCUUCUGAACAUCCUUUGUCUGAAACAAGACCACUGCGAGAACUUUUAGGCCAUACACCGACCCAGGUGGUUGCUGGCGCGUUGCUUGGGUGUGCAAUAGCCACAGCAGGACAGUUAUUCGUUUGAACUUUGAAGGUGCAGCAGAACUGUUGUAGCAUUUGCAGGGACUUGAGAAGAAGUUUUCUCUAGUGUUCUGCUACUUUAGGUAUUGGUAAGAUUUGCAAAUCUGUGCUGUAGUGUUGUUGAAGGUUGAAGCUUUGGUGGCACAUGAUUGUAUGCCAAGGUGAUGUUCACAGGGUUGUUGUACAGAACAUUUGUUCGAUAACUUCAUGGUUAUUGUGAAAUCUAAAUGUGAUUAUUUUGGCAA